rnacentral:lncRNA from 1 species
AUGGUGGAGCAAGAGGAAAGACAAAUCCCUUUGGUUCCAGAAAAUCUCCUGAAAAAGAGGAAGGCUUAUCAAGCCCUCAAAGCCACCCAGGCAAAGCAGGCACUUUUGGCAAAGAAGGAGCAGAGGAAAGGAAAAGGGCUCAGGUUUAAGUGACUGGAAUCAUUUCUACAUGAUUCCUGGAGGCAGAAACGUGACAAGGUGUGUCUCAGAUGACUAGAAGUAAUCCUUGUGCCUUGGAAUCACCAGAUAAACAUUCCUUGGCCUUUGUUGAAUGCAUUGAAGGAUUGAUGGCAUGUUUACUGGUGCAGAGAACCACUGCAAGACUUCGCCUAAAGAAAAUUUUUAGUGGUGUCUUUGUAAAAGUCACCCCCCAGAACCUAAAAAUGCUGCGUAUAGUGGAACCUUAUGUGACUUGGGGAUUUCCAAGUCUGAAAUCUGUCUGGGAACUCAUUUUGAAACGUGGACAAGCCAAGGUCAAGAAUAAGACCAUCCCUCUGACAGACAACACACUAAUUGAGGAGCACCUAGGGAAGUUUGAAGUUUGGUGUCAUUUGCUUGGAAGACCUCAUUCAUGAAAUUGGCUUCCCAGGGUAGCAUUUCCAGGAGAUCUCAUGGUUCUUGGACCCUUUCCACUUUCUCAGUGGCCUGUCACGCUACCAAAAAUAGAGUGGGCUUCCUCAAGGAGAUAGGCACACCUGGCUAUCGGGGUGAACGCAUCAAUCAGCUCAUCCGCCAGCUGAACUAG